GGUUCCGGAGGAGAGGUCGGCCCUGGCACUUUCGCACCCUUCAUGAUACACAAUACACGGUUGACCUCUCUUCAGUACC
rnacentral:pre_miRNA from 1 species